AGAAUCAACGCUGGCGGCGUGCCUAACACAUGCAAGUCGAACGAGAAAGUGGAGCAAUCCAUGAGUAAAGUGGCGCACGGGUGAGUAACACGUGACUAACCUACCUUUUAGUGGGGGAUAACCUAGGGAAACCUGGGCUAAUACCGCAUAAUACUUACGAGUCAAAGCAGCAAUGCGCUGAAAGAGGGGGUCGCGGCCGAUUAGCUAGUUGGCGGGGUAAUGGCCCACCAAGGCAGUGAUCGGUAUCCGGCCUGAGAGGGCGCACGGACACACUGGAACUGAAACACGGUCCAGACUCCUACGGGAGGCAGCAGUGGGGAAUUUGCGCAAUGGGGGAAACCCUGACGCAGCAACGCCGCGUGGAGGAUGAAGUCCCUUGGGACGUAAACUCCUUUCGAUCGGGACGAUAAUGACGGUACCGGAAGAAGAAGCCCGGCUAACUCGCGCCAGCAGCCGC
rnacentral:rRNA from 1 species